GACGAACGCUGGCGGCGUGCCUAAUACAUGCAAGUAGAACGCUGAAGGAGGAGCUUGCUUCUCUGGAUGAGUUGCGAACGGGUGAGUAACGCGUAGGUAACCUGCCUGGUAGCGGGGGAUAACUAUUGGAAACGAUAGCUAAUACCGCAUAAUAGUAGAUGUUGCAUGACAUUUGCUUAAAAGGUGCAAUUGCAUCACUACCAGAUGGACCUGCGUUGUAUUAGCUAGUUGGUGGGGUAACGGCUCACCAAGGCGACGAUACAUAGCCGACCUGAGAGGGUGAUCGGCCACACUGGGACUGAGACACGGCCCAGACUCCUACGGGAGGCAGCAGUAGGGAAUCUUCGGCAAUGGACGGAAGUCUGACCGAGCAACGCCGCGUGAGUGAAGAAGGUUUUCGGAUCGUAAAGCUCUGUUGUAAGAGAAGAACGAGUGUGAGAGUGGAAAGUUCACACUGUGACGGUAUCUUAUCAGAAAGGGACGGCUAACUACGUG
rnacentral:rRNA from 1 species